AGUGAACGCUGGCGGUAGGCCUAACACAUGCAAGUCGAACGGCAGCACCGUAAGUGCUUGCUCUUACGGGUGGCGCGUGGCGGAAGGGUGCUGAAUACAUCGGAAUCUACUUUUUCGCGUGUGAUAACGUCGGGAGACUUACGCUAGUACCGCAUACGUCCUACGGGUGAAAGCAGGGGAUCUUCUAACCUUUCGCGAGUGAAUGAGCCUAUGUAGGAUUAGCUAGUUGGCCGGGUAAGGGCCCACCAAGGCGGAGAUCGGUAGCUGGACUGAGAGGAUGAACAGGUACACUGGCACUGAGACACGGCACAGACACCUACGGGAGGACGCAGUCGGGACUCUUGCGCGAUGCAGGAGAGCCUGAUCCAGCGCUAUCGGGUGAAGGCAGAAGCACUCCGGGCUGGAGAGUCAUGAUGUUGGGAGAGAAAAACAGUAGUUUAACCCCGGACUGUACUGACGGUACCCAAAGAAGAAGCACCGGCUAACUUCGUG
rnacentral:rRNA from 1 species